UUAAUACCAACACUCGACGAAAUGCACUUGAUUCCUUUGCUGAACCAUAUUCUGAGGUGUGUCAUUUCCAGCCGGAUACUCCGCCCUCACUCCAUGGUUUUCGUUUCUUCCGUGAACUGUUGUUCGAGUAUACUCCGGAAUCACUUUGCAGAACAGUGUGUUGAAGUGGUGUGUACAAUGGAAGCAAUGACUUUUUCGACAUAAUGGCGAGGAAAAACAAACAAGUGCUCUCUGCUCGAUACCCGAAACCGUCGCAGUGCAAAUGGGCGAUAAUGACAAGUGGCAUCAAAGUGUAACGACAGUGUUGAAAUGCAGUGCGGACAGUACUUACCUACUAUCUCUAAGUUGAUAUCUUUAUUUUUUGUAGGCGACAAUAAAAAAUCUACUCGACAGCGAAAAGCACCAGCGUCCUUUUCCUGCGAAAGAAAUAGAAAUAUCGGAAAAAAUAACAGUCAGUAGCAGCCUAAAUCAAACAUGCAUAAAUUCGUAAUCGAAGGGAAAAUUGACUUUAGUUUGUUCAAUUAUCGUCAAACAAAAUCCCCCAAAGCGAGCCCCAAUGCCGCUUCAUUAGAGGGGGAUCGUUUGGUCAUAGUGUACAUGCAGAACGAAUCCCCACAAAGGUCCCUUUCAUUUCUGUCAGCCAUUCGAGCAGAAGAAAACCAACGAAUCGCGUUGAGUUUGCUUGCAGCAACAGCAGAAAGGAUGGGGAAGAGGACCACAGCACUGAUUGGGUCGAUUCGCCGAAGCUGGCAAUAUUUGAGCGAAAGCUUUCGCGAGGCAAAUAUCUUUUUUACUCCUCCUUUCUGAGUAAACCAGUCCUCCGCCGAUCCGGCACGACGACCGCGGAAAAAAUUAUUACGGAUGGAAAACUCGGGUGGGGGCUGCAGCGCGCUUGAGUGGGUGGUCUGCUGUCUUCCGAGAAAAUCAAUUCGAGAUGGUUUCGUCAAUAUUUGGGUACCAUAAAUUUCUAUUCAAUUGCGAUGAUCGCGUUGAUUAAAAUUGUCCCAAACUUAACGAAUGAGGGUGUUUUCAGACAGCAGAGUAUUUAUUUUAGAGCAGAGGGUAGGAAUUUUGUUGUUUCAAGCUUGAUUUGAAUAUCGAUUUAACGCUACAGUUGAAGGUUUGAUUAAACUCCUGGGAGGAUAUAUAGU